AUGAGGCUUUGGCUCCAAUUUGUUCUCAUUAUAGCGGCUUUGGAAGGUGUCCGGUCACAGGUGCAGCUGGUGGAGUCCGGAGGGGAUGUGAAAAAGCCCGGAGACUCUCUCCGCCUCUCCUGCAAAGCCUCCGGGUUCACCUUCAGCAGCUACUGGAUGGACUGGGUCCGCCAGGCUCCUGGGACGGGACUUGAAUGGGUCACUCAUAUAAACCCUAGUUUGGGUACUGCAUACCCUGAUUCAGUGAAAGGCCGAUUCACCAUCUCCAGGGAUGAUUCCAAGAGUGAGCUGUAUCUGCAAAUGACCGGCCUGAAGCCCGAGGACACCGGCCGCUAUCACUGUGUGAGACACACAGUGAGGGGAAGCCGGGCUGAGCUCAGACAAGAACCUCCCCCUGCAGUGAUCAGAGAAGCGAGUUAUAUCGAUAAACAGUUACAUUCUAUAUUGUCCUAUGCACUGGGCACGUUACCGGUAUCUUUGGUGAUCACAGGGGUCCGGUGUGAUGUGGAGCUGGUGGAGUCUGGCGGACGACUCAAAAAACAGGAGAGUCUCUAA